rnacentral:rRNA from 1 species
GUGCCAGCAGCCGCGGUAAUACGAGGGGGGCAAAUGUUGUUCGGAAUCACUGGGCGAUAAGGGAGCGUAGGCGGGUUCUUAAGUUAGGUGUUUAAUCCCGGGGCCCAACCCCGGACCGGCACUUAAAACUGGGAAUCUUGAAUAGUGGAGAGGUCGGUGGAAUUGGGGGUGUAGCGGUGGAAUGCGUAGAGAUCCCCAAGAACACCAGUUGCGAAGGCGGCCGACUGGACACAUAUUGACGCUGAGGCUCGAAAGCAUGGGGAGCAAACAGGAUUAGAUACCCUGGUAGUCC